rfam:Ictidomys tridecemlineatus contig070002, whole genome shotgun sequence.
AUCUCUUCUUGGCCUUUUGGCUAAGAUCAAGUGUAGCAUCAGAUCUGGUUCAUAAAUCAGUCACUCCACAUCACUUUUCUCUCUCUCAGCCUUCUGGUGCACUUGAAAUGUGUUUCUGAUUUCUUCUAAAAGGGAUCUCACUCCUUGUUCAGCUCUUACAUUUCAAAACAAGUUAUAUCAGAGCAGAGUUU